rnacentral:rRNA from 1 species
UACAGAGGUCUCAAGCGUUGUUCGGAUUCAUUGGGCGUAAAGGGUGCGUAGGCGGCGCGGUAAGUCGGGAGUGAAAUCUCUGGGCUUAACCCAGAGGCUGCUUCCGAAACUGCUGUGCUUGAGUGUGGGAGAGGCGCGUGGAAUUGCAGGUGUAGCGGUGAAAUGCGUAGAUAUCUGCAGGAACACCCGUGGCGAAAGCGGCGCGCUGGACCACAACUGACGCUGAAUGACGAAAGCUAGGGGAGCAAACGGG